CUUAAAUUAAAAAUUUAGUCAAUUUAUCCCUUUAAAUUAUUAAAAGUUGACAUUUAAUAUUUUCAAUAGUUAUUCAUUAAACAUAAAAUGUAAAAUUACAUGAGCAACUCAUGAGUAGAAAAAUAAAAUAAAAUAUUUAAAAUAGUCCUAUUUUUAUAAAUAACCUUUUUAAAACCAAAAUACCCAAAUAUUGUUAUAUAUAGAGGCUCUAUUUAUUUUCCCUUCACAUUCCCUCAUCUCUCCCUCUCUAUGAGAGCUAGAUCAAGGAAUGGAGCCAUGGAGAGAGAUCAGGGAAUGGGCCAUGCGGAGGGAGAUCAUGGAGAGG
rnacentral:lncRNA from 1 species